UGGAAGACAAGUUGAAGAUGGAAGAAAUCAAAGAGCAGAAGAUCUUGCAGCAGUUCUUCAAGAUUUCACUAACUAUAACCACAACAAUUUACCAGGUGAACAGAGGCAACACGACUUGGAGAGCAAAGAUGAUUCCAGCUCCCAGAGGUUGCAACAAUAAUAAUUACUAUGCCUCAAUACCAAAUUAGUUAGGGCAUGCCUUAUAUACAUAAAAUAAAAAAAUAAAAAAAAUAAAAACGUAGUUAGGGCAUGCCGUAUGGUUCAUCCUUAUCCAUGAUGCCUUAAUAGAUUAUCUAAUGUACUAGGAGUUCAGAAUCUAUGCAGACUCUAAGAGGUUGUAGUUCUUUUUGAAAUAAUAUCCUUCCAUGUGAUUUAGGUCUA